rnacentral:rRNA from 1 species
CACGUAGGGUGCGAGCGUUGUCCGGAAUUAUUGGGCGUAAAGAGCUCGUAGGCGGUGUGUCGCGUCGGCCGUGAAAACCUGCAGCUUAACUGUGGGCUUGCGGUCGAUACGGGCAUCACUGGAGUUCGGCAGGGGAGACUGGAAUUCCUGGCGUAGCGGUGAAAUGCGCAGAUAUCAGGAGGAACACCGGUGGCGAAGGCGGGUCUCUGGGCCGAUACUGACGCUGAGGAGCGAAAGCGUGGGGAGCAAACAGG